UUGAACAUGAUGGGAUGAAUUUCUUCACCCGACUAAGUCGUGGGGAACAAAACAAACGAGCUUUUUAACACUGAUGGAC